rnacentral:tRNA from 1 species
UCCCUGGUGGCUCAGCAGUAAAGAAUCUGCCUGCAAUGCAGGAGACGCAGGUUUGAUCCCUGGCUCGGGAA